rnacentral:tRNA from 1 species
GGUAGCUCAGUGGUAGAGUGCUUGCCUAGCAUGCAUGAGGCCCUGGGUUCGAUUCCUUAGAACCA